GCGUGAUUUCUCUUAGUUCUGUUACCUCAAACACGUACAGCCUCAAUGCGCUAUGAUACAACGGAAGUGUAUUUGUUUCCGAAACAGGUGUGCCGCGUUUCAGAGACAACCGAGUUGUGAUACUCCGAAACCUGUCCAGGAAUCCGAUGGAGUUUGUUUUGAUGCAGUGUGUGGGCUGAGAGGGAAAUAUAGCGAUUACGUGAAAAGGGGAUAGACUGUUUUUUUAAAAGAAUUUUUUAAGGAGGAGUUUGAGUAAUGCAAUACAGUAAGUUGCGGAAAUGCGCUAAAGAUGUUGGUGGCGAACAUGAGGAGAAUGCGGUGAAAUCUGUUCUGGAUUGGACUUUGAACAGGUCUGUGCAACAUCGUAUACACUUUUGUAAUCACAGUGAGACCAAUACUGGAUUGACUGAAUACUUCGUUAAAGAUGCCAUAACUCUGGGAAUCUGGGAACCUACUGUCUCAGUUAGAAAUUAUUUAAGGAGAGGAAUGACACAGUGUGCUACAAUAACUAACACAACCCCUAUGAACUUGUUUUUACUCACUUCUCUCCCACGUUUUACUUCCUUUCCCGCCGUUCCACUAUUCCUAUCCUUCUUUUCACUUCCCUUGUCCGUCUCAUUUACUUUGUCCCUCGUUUCCCAGUCUGGGCCGUGGUGCUGCUUCUGUCCUGAUUCUGUCUAUCGGCUGCAAAUGUUUUCCUGUUUCCAUGGUAUGAAUGUAUCUAAGGGCAUUGACAACCUUGAGGAGGGCAUUUCAGUACUGUGGAGUGUUUGGAACCCAGACCGAAGAGGAGGUGACAUUGCAGAUGGGAGGCAACAGCCCUUUCUAGGGGUUUUCACAAGGAAGGGGAGGUUGGAGAUUAUGAAAAUACGGAUGCUAUGAAUGUUGGUGGGGUCCAGACCAGGUUUCUUUAAGAUGGUUGUGACUGCAGCAGUUUGAGGGUUUGAGGGGACAGUGCCCGUGGGAGAGAGAGAUUGAUUAUUUGAGUGAUGUGUGGACAGAGGGCAGGAAGGCAAGUCUUGAUGAGAGUUGCUGGAAGGGGAUCCUGGGAGCAGGUAGUUGUUUUUGUUGAUAAAAACCGGGGUAAAAGUAUGCAGAUGGGUUUGGAGAACAGGGGGUGGAAAGGGGAGCUAGUUAACUGUGGAAGAACAGGCUGAGGGAGAAGGAUUAGCCAAGGAUGAAUUAAUUUGUGUGAUCUGGUCCUUGAAAAACUGAAGAAAUUAGUUUGCAAGCAGAGUAGAGGAUGUGGAGGUCUCACUGUGGGGUUGGAGAAGUUUGUUGACUGUAGAAAACACCGCCUGGAAGUUCGUCCCAGGGUCCUGAGCUUAGGAACAAGCUUGGCGGGCACAAUAGUGUUGAAUGCAAAGCUGUAGUCCACAAACAGCAUUCUCACGUAUGUUUUGCCUUUUUCCAGGUGGAGGUGUGUGUUGUCAGGGCAAUGGCAUCGUCCGUAGAUCUAUUGGGGCGGUGUGUGUCGUCAGGGCAAUGGCAUCGUCCGUAGAUCUAUUGGGGCAGUGUGUGUCGUCAGGGCGAUGGCAUCGUCCAUAUAUCAAUUGGGGCAGUGUGUGUCGUCAGGGCGAUUGCGUCGUCAGUAGGUCUAUUGGGGCGGUGUGUGUCGUCAGGGCAAUGGCGUCGUCAGUAUAUCUAUUGGGGCGGUGUGUGUCGUCAGGGCGAUGGUGUUGUCAGUAGGUCUAUUGGGGCGGUGUGUGUCGUCAGGGCGAUGGCGUCGUCAGUAGAUCUAUUGGGGCGGUGUGUGUCGUCAGGGCGAUGGUGUCGUCAGUAGGUCUAUUGGGGCGGUGUGUGUCGACAGGGCGAUGGCGUCGUCAGUAGAUCUAUUGGGGCGGUGUGUGUCGUGAGGGGCGAUGGCGUCGUCCGUAGAUCUAUUGGGGCGGUGUGUGUCGUCAGGGCGAUGGCGUCGUCUGUAGAUCUAUUGGGGGUUGUGUGUGUCGUCAGGGCGAUGGCGUCGUCCGUAGAUCUAUUGGGGGUUGUGUGUGUCGUCAGGGCGAUGGCGUCGUCCGUAGAUCUAUUGGGGUGGUGUGUGUCGACAGGGCGAUGGCGUUGUCAGUAGAUCUAUUGGGGCAGUGUGUGUCGUCAGGGCGAUGGCGUCGUCAGUAGAUCUAUUGGGGCGGUGUGUGUCGUCAGAUUAGAAUGCAAGGUGCCACUCCCACGCCCUACGGCAACCAGUGGCGGUUUUACCUGUCUAAACUCCUGGCGAAUCUUCUCCCUUUUCUGGGACGGCGGCCAAUAUCUGUCUUAUCUACCAAACUGACACGGCAGCCAAUAUCUGUCUUAUCUACCAAACUGACACGGCAGCCAAUAUCUGUCUUUUCUAUCUUAGUUCUUCCAACUGUUGUAUACUUUCUUGUGACACAUCAACAUCAACCUCUCUGUCUCUGGUCAACCCACUCUCUUCCUUUUGCGUGCAUAUAACACGGGUUCACACAAUGUCAUGCACACGCCAAAGUCCUUUUUUGCGUGCAGUUGAGACGUGAUGUCCCCCCAUUAGUAAUAAUGGUCAAUAAAAUAGUUUAAUUGACACGCACCAACUGAAACCUAUUUGACGUCACCAUAAUCGAGGCACGGAUUUCCCGAAGAGUGACUAAUCCGUAGAUUAACUUUUUUCUUGAAAGAACGAAAAAGGGUAAAGGUAAAAGUUUCAUAUCGC
ensembl:lncRNA